rnacentral:lncRNA from 1 species
GUCACGGACUUAGUCGUUCACUAAGCUCGUGCGGCACUUAGGCAAGUCAAGACGCUUGAUCUUGCUAAGUCAGCCUUGAUCUCCAAUGCUUAGCUUGCUCGGCUAAGACACUCGCGACUCAAAGGCUUAAGAAGCUUGGUAGGCGAUUCCUUAAAGAAUGAAAGCUCUUUAUUACUCAAAGAAGCUUUUACAAGUGCUUGGAAGCUCACUUGCUUGGUUAGGAAGUGAUUUGGGUGGUCUUUGGCCAAAUGGGGCCCUCACCUAUUUAUAAGCACCAAGGGAACUCUCUAGAACCUUGGAGGGUCCCUUACAAAUCAAGAAUAUUCUAGAACAUCCUACCCUAUUCUA